UCCGGGGGCACGGCUUGCAGCAUAUUUCUCUCAUAACCUCGUCAGCACCCACUGACGGUGCUUCCUACCCAGUUAGCAUUAAAUUCCUGUGUCUUAAAAUGAGUGCAGCUGGCUCCAGGGAAAGGUUCUGGAAGCCAAGCAAGGUGGCCUCUGAGUUAAGCCAGGAUGGGGCUUGCGUGGGUUUCUCCUGGCUCCCUGAGAGGUGGUGGGGGCGGCGGGGGGAGGGGGACACCUGUCCAAGGGGAAGGGAUGUGUGUUUGAGUGGAGGAGGUGCUGUUAAGCAGAAAGAGGAAGGAAAGACUCAGUUAUUCAUUGGGGAGGGGAGGAAGCUACUGACAAUGACAAAAAAAAAAAGCAACUGCCAGAAACCUCCUCGAGGCAGAGGGGGGAUGGGCCUUUCCUCCGCCUAGGGACCUGCAUCCAAACCCACGGCAGGGGGGGGCAAGGGGGGGUGGGAGAGGAAACGUGAGCUGUAGAACCAACAGGGGCAGUGACCUCCCGAGCAAAUCCUCUGUCGGGGCCACGGACACACAUGCAGAAGACAGGAACCUGAGCAGAGAGUCACUGGGUCCCUUCCGUCAGACACUGCGAUGAGCUACCAGCCCCUCUGCUGUGUGGUCCUUUGUGUCCUCGGGGCAAUCCCCGUGGACACUGCAGUUACCCAGACACCAAAACACCUGGUCGCAGCGACAGGGAGUAAGGGGACCCUGAAGUGCGAACAACGUCUGGGACAUAACGUUAUGUACUGGUACAAACAGAGUGCUCAGAGGCCACCGAAGCUCAUGUUUGCCUACAGCUAUAAGGAACUCGCCGAAAAUGACAGUGUCCCCAGUCGCUUCACACCCGAGUGCUCAGACAGCUCCCACCUGCACCUUCACGUGGCCGCCCUACAGCCAGAGGACUCCGCCCUGUAUCUCUGUGCGAGCAGCGAGGACACAGCCCCGCACAGCCAACUGCUCCCCGUGCACAAACCUCCUGGGUGCAGCCGGGGAGCCGUGGGGGCGACCACGGCUCAGCUCGACAUCUCCGGUGGGACCCCAGACAGACAGAAACCCCAGGCCACGACGUGCCGGUCGGUUCGCUGGAUGCAGCAAGGCCCAGUUCCCUGCACAGACGCCCACAGCCUGUGGCCUGGCUCUGCCCGGGGCCAGACUGUGCCCGCGGCUGAGUGCGGGACGGAAAGGGUCCACCUCAAGUUCCUCCGGUAGCUUCCGAUCGGCACGUGGCCCCGGGGACUCUUUCAGGAGGCACGCUGCACUCUGGCCGCGGCGGCCCUGCCAAGCCUCCUGCCAACCGGUACCUUUCUCUGCCUGUUCCUUCCACCCAGGUGAGACCCUGGAUCUCAGCCCUGGUCCCAGCUCCAGACGCGCUCCGAGCCCCUAUGCAGAACACCUGCUUGCCUCACCACAGGGCCCUGUCAGUCCCUACCACUGAGGACAGUGGCUCCCUCGUGAGUUUCGGAUCGCUGUCCUCGAGGCCACUCUCUGCUGCACACCCGGGGACUCAGCUCUGCGCAGGCUCCUCUUCCUCUCGGGCUUUGACACUUUGAGGCUGGAUUCUUUUUCCUUCUGUCCCUUUAAUCCUAAUUCUUCGGGUCUCCACAUCCUGCGUUAUCAGCCAGAGAGCCUGAUGGCCCUGGAUCGUUGCCCGCAACAGGCAGGAAGGGGAGAAGGCCCCCAGCGUUU